UGGCUUCGUGGUCUAAUGGUAAGGACACUUGCCUCUCACCCUGGAGUCCCGGAUUCGAUUUCCGGACGGGUUAG